GAGUUUUUGAUGUCGCAGAUACUGCAUCAGGAACUGAUUGGAUAAUAAUGGGUCACCAUCAGUUCCUAAUGCAUUGCCUUCAGCAUCUAAACA
rnacentral:pre_miRNA from 1 species